rnacentral:rRNA from 1 species
UACGGGGGGGGCAAGCGUUGUUCGGAAUUACUGGGCGUAAAGGGCGCGUAGGUGGCCAACUAAGUCAGACGUGAAAUCCCCCGGCUUAACCAGGGAACUGCGUCUGAUACUGGAUGGCUGGAGUUUGGGAGAGGGAUGCGGAAUUCCAGGUGUAGCGGUGAAAUGCGUAGAUAUCUGGAGGAACACCGGUGGCGAAGGCGGCAUCCUGGACCAACACUGACACUGAAACGCGAAAGCCAGGGGAGCAAACGGG